UCCUGGGGGCGAGCAGCAUAUGCAGCUGCAUCAGGCGCUAUUAGAGGCAAGUUAUGCUCUUAUUAUUUUGAGAAAAGCCAGGGAAAUGGCUGUACAUAUUACAGAAAGCUCUGCCAGUCUGAGCAGCAAUGUGUGCUGAAAAUGAGGUCAGUCCCUCGCAGUCCAGCAUUUCCCCAACCCCAAGAAACUCAUUUUCAAAGCGUCCAUUGUCAAAACAGACUGAUUGAUUGGGGGGAAAACUUUAGAAACAGCAGAGCCAUUUUCCAAGCACAAGUGGUGGACGUUUCUUGAUAGGCAGAAUGUCUUUUUUUCCCCCCUCAUCGGAAAGCGUCCCUCUUUUCCACCUUGGUCACACUCGGGCACAAUGGCUGGUUGUGCCAGACCUGCCCCUCUGCUGCUGCAGCCCUUGUGAAGGUCCAGGAGCUUCUCUGAAGAAGAAAUACAUAGUUCUGUAAUUUUAGACCUGCAGGUUGAGGCUUGUUGGCCUAAACCUCUCUCCACUUUGCUUCUGGCUUUGCCACCAAGGGCAUGAAACCAGGUGUUUCAACACUGAAGGCAUCAGGGCUCCUUUGCUGCCUGAUAACAUAUUUCAGACCAGUCCAACGGAGCGGUCAGCACUUAAACUUGAAAAAAUAAUACACUGUGAAUUGAAAAUGAGCAAAGGAAUUGGGAAAAGAAUUAUAUGCCUGAGAACACCUCAUGUUAUACGGGUGGUUUCAAGGUUACUAAGCUGCAAGGAACAAUUUAGGAAAAACUUCUGAGGGGUAAAGCAAUGAAAUCUGAGGGUCGUAGAAAUCAAGGGGCUCAGUACAGGCAUGAACAGCAAAAGCAGCUUCACUUAAGCUAUAGGUAACAGUAACUGUACAUGCACAAUAACAACCAUUGGUUUUGUGUGUUUUAUCUUUGUACUGUGAUUUUCCAGAUUAACCCUGUUCUUUUAAACUCCAAGCAGUUCCCCUGACCGUGGAGUUGCAAAGUGCGAGCACCAAAGUCUCUGGAAAACACUGUGAGAGCACAGAGGCCAGGUCUGGGGUGCCAGCGAUGUGGUUCAGCAAAAGCCAAGGAGAACUUCAGGAUUCAAUGGACAACACUGACCAGCUGUGCAGAUCAUCUCCAACCCUGAAGGCCAGCCUACCUCUGAUAUGGUUCUAGUGGCUCUGCAAUGAGGCCAUAGAUUACCAUCAUCAACAUUUCAGGAGGUAUGAGCAUAUGUAUUCCUGUCAAUAAAAGCUUUCUGACCCCUUU